UGGUCCCCGUGAUGCAAAAGUAGCUAGCACACGUCUGUUCUGUCUCUGCGUCCCAGGCCUGGCACAGGACAGGCCACACAGUCACUGUCGUUGGCAAGAGUGACUCAGUGGGUCCGGAAGAGGAUCACCAAUUCCUUGCCAUCGGCCAGCAUUCCUGUCACACUGCACAGAACGCUGCAUUCGUUAGCAACCGCUUUCCCACCUGGAUCCACAACUCACACAGCCAUUGACCUGUUUUGUGUCUCCGUGGAUUUGCCUGUUCUAGACACUUCAUGAAGUCACACACAGACAGGCGACUCUGGUGUCUGCUUCUGUCUUUAAAGUCCGUCUCCACUGUAGCGUGUGUAAGUGCUCGGCUCCAUUCCUCCUCAUUGCCGAAUAAUGUUCCGUUGCCUGGGCA